AGAUUGAACGCUGGCGGCAGGCCUAACACAUGCAAGUCGAGCGGUAGAGAGGUGCUUGCAUCUCUUGAGAGCGGCGGACGGGUGAGUAAUGCCUAGGAAUCUGCCUAGUGGUGGGGGAUAACGUUCGGAAACGGACGCUAAUACCGCAUACGUCCUACGGGAGAAAGCGGGGGACCUUCGGGCCUCGCGCCAUUAGAUGAGCCUAGGUCGGAUUAGCUAGUUGGUGAGGUAAUGGCUCACCAAGGCGACGAUCCGUAACUGGUCUGAGAGGAUGAUCAGUCACACUGGGACUGAGACACGGCCCAGACUCCUACGGAGGCAGCAGUGGGAAUUUUUGGACAAUGGGCGAAAGGCCUGAUACCAGCAAUGCCGCGUGCAGGAAGAAGGCCCUUGGUUCGUAAACUAGUCUUUUGUAACGGAACGAAAGGACUCUUUACUAAUAAAGA
rnacentral:rRNA from 1 species